rnacentral:lncRNA from 1 species
UUUGGAAUAGAUCAUUUUUUUUUUUGAGUUUUAUAACAACUAUCAUAUUAAAUUUCGGCUACAAUCAGUAAUGUAUAGGAGCCGUAAUAAAACAUAGACAAAUUAAUUAAAAAAAGGGGUUUUUGCAAAAUUGACCUACAACUCAAAGUCAAACCUCCAUUUUUUUUGGAAAUUAGUUAUGCCCUAUUCACCCCAGAAAUUCAUAUAAUUCACGAAAAUACCAUUAUUUUUUUUUAUUUUAUUUUUUCGAAAAUGACAUUUUUACUCUCUCACCCUCAUCAUCUUCAAGUAAUUACAAGAUUGUCAUUGUCAUCAAUAUCCUAAUCACCAUGAACAACCAAUUUGAAGCUCUUAAUGCUCCCAAAAUCGAUUUACCCUUUUUCUUUCUCCAUUCUUAUGAACUAAACACAACAUAUCUCUCACUUUCUCUUCACAUUAAGCUAAAAAAACCCAAAAUUUUGAUUCUACAUUUUUAAUGGUUCAUAGAGUCAAAGAAGC